rnacentral:sRNA from 1 species
GCCUAGCCCAGAUAGAAGCGGUAUCCUUUUUCUUGCUUUUUUCAGCAAGAAAAAGAUAUAGCGGAUAGCUGGAAAUAGC